rnacentral:rRNA from 1 species
AUGCUUCUACUUUCUGUAUGGAGCUGGGAGCGUCUGCCUGUUGGACGCCCGAAGAGCGUCAGGUUUAAUCCUUGGUAUGAAGAUGAACAUGACGAAUUACGGCGCCCCACUUGGGCUUACAAGUGGGAUGUGGUUUCCGAGAUGACGAACGAUGUCAAUCUCAUGUACCAGAAGUACGUUGCCUAG